AGCGCUGGAGGUGCCUCUGCUGAGAGUGCUUGCUAAUCGGGAGUUACAAUACCUAGGGCAAGCCAGACAGGAACCCUGGGCGUAAUUCGUGGGAGGUCAACGUUUCAGAAGUUAGGCUGUAUCGGUUUUUUGUAACUUUCAUUUCACUCUUCGCAUGUUUUUUCCGCGCCCCGUGUUCCGUCGGAGUUGUGUCGCCAACUCUCUCCUGUUUUAACAAGCGCUGGCUUGGGUGAUACCCUUUUUAAGUGUACUAAAUGAUCAUGGAGAGGAAGAGGAUGGACUGCCCGGCUCUGCCACCGGGUUGGAAGAAAGAAGAAGUGAUCCGGAAGUCGGGGCUUAGCGCUGGCAAGAGCGAUGUCUACUACUACAGUCCUACUGGCAAGAAGUUCAGGAGCAAGCCCCAACUGUCUCGGUACCUGGGGAACACAGUCGACCUCGGCUGCUUUGAUUUCCGCACUGGCAAGAUGAUGCCCAGCAAGCUACAGAAGAACAAGCAGAGGCUACGCAAUGAUAACCUCAGUCAAACCAAGGGAAAGCCAGACUUAAACACCGCACUUCCUAUAAGACAGACGGCCUCCAUUUUCAAACAGCCGGUGACCAAAGUCGUGAAUCACCCAAGUAACAAAGUGAAGUCAGACCCUCAGAGAGCAACUGAACAACCACGACAGCUUUUCUGGGAAAAGAGGUUGAAAGGCUUGCGGUCAUGUGAUGUAACAGAAGAGGUUCUGAAAACCAUGGAGCUUCCAAAGGGUCUACAAGGAGUUGGUCCUGACACAACAGACGAGACACUUCUCUCUGCUAUAGCCAGCGCUCUGCACACAAGUUCCUCCCCAAUAACAGGCCAGACGUGUAACGCUGUAGAGAAGAACCCAGCUGUGUGGCUAAACACAUCGCAGCCCCUCUGCAAAGCCUUCAUUGUCACAGAUGAUGACAUCCGAAAACAAGAGGAGAGGGUGCAGCAGGUACGGAAGAAGCUGGAGGAAGCACUCAUGGCAGACGGUUUGGCGCGGGCCGCUGAAUCGACACAGGACAUGAGCAUAGAAAACAAAGCCAACACAUAGGACCCGGAGAAGUAGACAAAAGGUUUUUAGAAUCUUGUAGAGUGAAGCUUGCCUUCAUAUCCGUAAGCAGAUCUGGGAUGUCAUGAGGCAGUUUGCUCCAAUUGAAAGUUGCAUGCUGAGAUCAGUUUCAGUGGAGGGGCUUGAUUGACAUCAUGAGGUUUCCACCUGAAUGCUCGAUUCUACAGACUCUUAUUUUUGCACCAGAAGCAGGUUCCCCAAAAAAACUGAAGACAAAACAGAGAUCAGUCAUCAGUCUGCAGAAGCAGAAAGGACCCACGUACAUUCUAACAGCUUUCUAAUAAAUAGAUUAAACCAAUGCCUUUUUGACUAUAAUGUUUUUAUGUACAUAUCUAUAUAUAUAAUUUCAGAACAAUGUUUAUUUUGUGUCCAAAUUAUGGAUUUAAAUAUUCUUUUUUAAAGAUUAUUGAGCAAUACUUUGAAAUUUUGAAAACAUUUCUUAUGUCAGGUUGCAAUCUGCUGGAUUUGUAUUGCUAACUUUAUUUUUAUUUUUAUUUUUUUUGUUGGCUCUAAGGGAUUUGUUGUCGUCAGGGUUUGUAACAGAUUAAUAAUUUCAGAACAUGAAACUGCUUAUUUAAGAAGAUUUUUAUACCUUCAGAGAGAAACUACCUGUACAUUCUUGCAUCACAGUGGAAUAAUUAAAUGAUUAUAUUCACUAA